rnacentral:rRNA from 1 species
UGAUUACGUCCUGCCCUUUGUACACACCGCCCGUCGCUCCUGCCAAUGGAUAGGGUGACAAGAAGUGGAGCACGACCGUGUACGAUACAGCGUCCUUCGUCGCUGUACACAUGCGUCUACGCCCACUUCGAGCCAAAUUAUCUAAAGGAAGGAGAAGUCGUAACAAGGUUUCCGUAGGUGAACCUGCGGAAGGAUCACCGUUUACUAUCGAGUACACCGAACUCUCUAGUCACGACUCAUGUACCAGCAUGAUUCUGUACGUCUGGUACUACUCCCGUAUAGAUUUACACACAAAUACAGCGCAUGCAAGGUAGCCUUAGCUAUCCACGUUGUCUAAUGAACCCUUGAUGAUGGAUGUCUAGGCUCUCGUAACGAUGAAGAACGCUGCAAAAGGCGAGAUGAAGCGCAACGAACAAGGAUCGUGAAAGCGCUAAGUAUUCGAACGCAGUUGGUGUCCGUGUAAUACUUCAUGGACAUGCUCGGAGUAGUGACUAGUGAACACAAGGCUGCACCAUGAUGCUCUAUAAGCCAUAAGCAGCGUAAUGCUCUGGGUGAGACUUCUUACCAGAGUCAAAACAACUUGCUACACACCAUAAGGUCCUGCAUCCGAGUUAGGGUUACCCGCUGAACUUAAGCAUAUCAAUAAGCGGAGGAA